UCAUCUUAGUUCAACAAAUUUUUUAUCAAAAUCAAUCAUUUCGUUUUUUCCGAUGUUACCGUAAAAAGACAGAGCUAAGAACUGUAUAUUGUAAAACUGCAGAAUCUUCAAGAAAGAACUACUAGAAUAGAAAGCAGUUAUAUAUUUCCUAAAAAAACUUGAUGAUUAUCGAGAAGAGAAGAAGAAAAAUGCUGUCAUAAAAUAAAAUAAAAAUAGGGAAUUUGCAAUACAUACUUAUAGAAUAAAAAGAUAUUAGGUAUAUGGAAAUGCACUUUGCAGUUUUUCAUAAUACCAUAGAUGUCCCUACUCCUAUACUACGCCCUUCAUAAUUAAUGUGUUGCGUGUGAGAGUUGGAAGAUAAGAAGUCAAAAUUGCAAGAAACCACGAACCAUAAUCAAGAAAAACAAGACAACAUUUUCUCUUCAAAUAACUUUCUAGUCUGAAAAAACCCGAAUCAUAAACACGACCACAAUUCUCUGUUGAAAUGGUACGGAUAAAGGAUUUAUGGUUGGUUUCUACGGCUUUGAAGGUUUUGAAAGGUUACCACUACUUUCACACGAAAGCUAACAGGGCCCCACUUUCUCAUCGCGAAGAAGAUAAUAUUGGUUGCAACGAGGGUCCAAGAUUUGAUCCAUUAAAGAUGGAGAAGAUGUUCAAAGGUUCUUUGUUCUGACUUGGGGUGGCUUCACAAGCGUUACUGCUAUUGUCGUUUUGUUCUUGAAGAACUAAUUUUUCAUCUUAUGUUUGUGUCCCUGUAAUCAUGGUUUAUCUGUUUCCUAGUUGUUUAAUAUUAUUUAAUGAAAGUUAUGUAUUUUCGGUUGCUAUUGUUUAAUAUUAAGUAAUGACUAAAAAUUCGGUUACAUGUUACA